GGCUGGGAGGCGCGGCGGCUCUCAUAGCGCCGGGGCGGGGGAAGGCGUGGCGGUCACCGACGGCCGGCGGCGGGCGGAAGCGGCGAGGUCGGGCGGGAGCGGAGCCUCAUCGCUGCCCGCACCGAACCGCGCCGAGCUCACCGCCGGUAGCGCCGCGGCCGCUCGCGGCUCCCGUACAGCCCGGCCGCUGACCGCCGCUCCAGCGCCGCUGCCGCCGCACUUCCGGACAGGGAGGGGUCACGCGGUGCCGCGCCGCGCCGCUUCCAUCCGGGGCCUCAGAGACGCCACGCCCCUCACCCCCUCCCAACCCCCCCGCGGCGCGGGGCGGGGCGCGAGGCGGCCGUUGGGACGGGGGUGGCGGGAGCGGCGUCCUGGCUGUGUGGAGCGCUGCAGUGAGGGGACGCGGUGCAGCGCACCGGGUUGCAGCAGCCCAAGGGGCCGUGGCGUGAAGCAGGCACCCUGUGACCGUCCCAGGCUUGGAGCUUCCCGGGACUUCUUUUUUUUUUGUCGGUUCGUUUAUUUCCAGUUGAAGUUCACCUGAAAAUGACACUCGGUGAGCUACCAGCUGACCCAACCAGCUGCGGCUGUUGCACCUCAGCAACACCUCAAUCACACACACACACCGCUGCGUGCUGACACAGCCCUCGCCUUCCUGUCCCUCUCAGCCCAGCUCCUGACACGGCUGCUUUAAUUCCCUCCCACUCACUCGCAGCACCCAGCAGUUGUGAGAGGAGCUGUUUCCCAUGGUCCUGGUGGGACAGAUAGCUCCAAGGUAUUAGCCUAUCCUUCUAAACCUCAAGGGGAGUUGUAAAUGCUACAUGCAGUGCUGCAAACAAAUACCUGCUAUGGGCACAGCGAAGUCUCACCUCAGUUCCCUCCUUAUUCCGUUUAGCUGAAGGCCCGUUCGGAGGAGGACCUUCUAACUGAACUGCCUCCAUGGUGAUUCUAAGAUUGAGCACACAGGAAAAGCAGCGGGCUAAGAUAUUUUUGUAGAUAGCAACUAACGACCAUCUCCUUCAAAUCUCACUUCAGAGAAAGUCUGCAGGGGUGGAUCAUUAACAGAAGCUGUGAAGAACGCAUGCAUAUUUGUCAGCAGACAAAAGAACAGGUAGCUGUGUCUCCAAGAAGCGCCAAAGAUCUGUAUGACACUGGACCUGAUGCCAAAGUGGUACCAUUUCCUCCAUAGUAAAUGGGGAGCAAUCACCUUACCUUCGUCGUCAUUCAUCCUGCCAUUAAACCUGGCUCUCAUUCAUCGGCGUGAUGAUCAGAGCCUGAGCCCGAGAAUAAUCAGAGUAACACGGUGCAGUAUUUAGCAAAGCAGCGGCUGAAACGCAGCCCCUCAUCCCUGUGUGUGCCCC
rnacentral:lncRNA from 1 species